rnacentral:rRNA from 1 species
AUUGAACGCUAGCGGGAUGCUUUACACAUGCAAGUCGAACGGCAGCGCGGACUUCGGUCUGGCGGCGAGUGGCGAACGGGUGGGUAAUGUAUCGGAACGUGCCCAGUAGCGGGGGAUAACUACGCGAAAGCGUAGCUAAUACCGCAUACGCCCAACGGGGGAAAGAAGGGGAUCGUAAGACCUUUCAACAUUUGAGUGGACGAUAUUGGAAUAGGUAGUAGGUGCGGUAACGGCUCACAAAGGCGAAGAUACGUAGCUGGUAUGAGAGGACGACCACCCACCCUGAGACUGAGACACAGCAGCGACUCCUACAGGAGGAAGCAGCGGAGAAUUUUGGACAAUGCGGGCAACCCUAAUACUGCCAUCCCGAGUGUGCGAUGACGGCGUUCGGGUUGUAGAGCACUGUUGGCAGUAAAGAAGCGUCGCGGGCUAAUACCCCGUGGAACUGACGGUACCUGCAGAAUAAGCACCGGCUAACUACGUG